rnacentral:rRNA from 1 species
AUCUAUGGACAUACCACCCUGAACAUGCCCAAUCUUGUCUGGUCUUAGAAGCUAAGCACGGUCAGGCCUGGUUAGUACUUGGACAGAUCUUCAGAGGUG